UACGUAGGUGGCAAGCGUUGUCCGGAAUUACUGGGCGUAAAGGGCGCGUAGGCGGCCUGUUAAGUCGGACGUGAAAUCCCCGGGCUCAACCCGGGAACUGCGUCCGAUACUGGCAGGCUUGAAUCCGGGAGAGGGAUGUGGAAUUCCAGGUGUAGCGGUGAAAUGCGUAGAUAUCUGGAGGAACACCGGUGGCGAAGGCGGCAUCCUGGACCGGCAUUGACGCUGAGGCGCGAAAGCCAGGGGAGCAAACGGG
rnacentral:rRNA from 1 species